rnacentral:rRNA from 1 species
GAACGGUGAAGCCUUCGUGGUGGAUCAGUGGCGAACGGGUGAGUACACGUGGGCAAUCUGCCCUGCACUCCGGGACAAGCCUUGGAAACGAGGUCUAAUACCGGAUACGACCCGGGACCGCAUGGUCCUGGUGUGGAAAGCUCCGGCGGUGCAGGAUGAGCCCGCGGCCUAUCAGCUUGUUGGUGGGGUGAUGGCCUACCAAGGCGACGACGGGUAGCCGGCCUGAGAGGGCGACCGGCCACACUGGGACUGAGACACGGCCCAGACUCCUACGGGAGGCAGCAGUGGGGAAUAUUGCACAAUGGGCGCAAGCCUGAUGCAGCGACGCCGCGUGAGGGAUGAAGGCCUUCGGGUUGUAAACCUCUUUCAGCAGGGAAGAAGCGCAAGUGACGGUACCUGCAGAAGAAGCACCGGCUAACUACGUGCCAGCAGCCGCGGUAAU